rnacentral:rRNA from 1 species
AGUGAACGCUGGCGGUAGGCCUAACACAUGCAAGUCGAACGGCAGCACAGUAAGAGCUUGCUCUUACGGGUGGCGAGUGGCGGACGGGUGAGGAAUACAUCGGAAUCUACUUUUUCGUGGGGGAUAACGUAGGGAAACUUACGCUAAUACCGCAUACGACCUACGGGGGAAAGCAGGGGAUCUUCGGACCUUGCGCGAUUGAAUGAGCCGAUGUCGGAUUAGCUAGUUGGCGGGGUAAAGGCCCACCAAGGCGAGGAUCCGUAGCUGGUGUGAGAGGAUGAUCAGCCACACUGGAACGGAGACAGGGUCCAGAGUCCUACGGGAGGCAGCAGUGGGGAAUGUUGGACAAUGGGCGCAAGCCUGGUCCAGCCAUACCGCGUGGGUGGAGAAGGCCUUCGGGUUGUGAAGCCCUUUUGUUGGGAAAGAAAAGCAGCAGGUUAAUACCCCGCUGUUCUGACGGUACCCAAAGAAUAAGCACCGGCUAACUUCGUG